GACGAACCGUGCGAGCGUUGUUCGGAAUCACUGGGCUUAAAGGGCGCGUAGGCGGCUUCGCAAGUCCGGGGUGAAAGCCCCCAGCUCAACUGGGGAAGUGCCUUGGAUACUGCGGGGCUCGAGGGAGGUAGGGGUGUGUGGAACUUCCGGUGGAGCGGUGAAAUGCGUUGAUAUCGGAAGGAACGCCGGUGGCGAAAGCGACGCACUGGACCUCAUCUGACGCUGAGGCGCGAAAGCCAGGGGAGCAAACAGG
rnacentral:rRNA from 1 species